rnacentral:tmRNA from 1 species
GGGGGCGACAUGGAUUCGACGCCGGUAUUGAACUCUGUGGUGCAUGCCGAGUAGGUCACAGUGCUCGUAACCACCUUGUGGCACACUAAAGUAAUCGCAAACGACGAUACUUACGCACUAGCAGCUUAAACCCUGCUUAUCGCCAAUCGACCCAGCCUGUGGGGAAGAGCGGCGAGCAUCGCUACACAGGAUCGCAGCAACGUCCGUCCCGGAUCGCGCUGUUAAAACCUUAGGGACUCGGUGACUGCGCCCUGUCGGUCGGGCCGCAGCCACUUAAAUCAAUAGACAUGACUAAGCAUGUAGAUCCAUAGAUGGAUUGCUGGCGGACGCGGGUUCGAUCCCCGCCGCCUCCACCA